UAAGUUAGAAAGGGCGCACGGUGGAUGCCUUGACACUAGGAGUCGAUGAAGGACGGGACUAACGCCGAUAUGCUUCGGGGAGCUGUAAGUAAGCUUUGAUCCGAAGAUUUCCGAAUGGGGAAACCCACCAUACGUAAUGGUAUGGUAUCCUUAUCUGAAUACAUAGGGUAAGGAAGACAGACCCAGGGAACUGAAACAUCUAAGUACCUGGAGGAAGAGAAAGCAAAUGCGAUUUCCUGAGUAGCGGCGAGCGAAACGGAACAUAGCCCAAACCAAGAGGCUUGCCUCUUGGGGUUGUAGGACAUUCUAUACGGAGUUACAAAGGAACGAGGUAGACGAAGCGACCUGGAAAGGUCCGUCGUAGAGGGUAACAACCCCGUAGUCGAAACUUCGUUCUCUCUUGAAUGUAUCCUGAGUACGGCGGAACACGUGAAAUUCCGUCGGAAUCUGGGAGGACCAUCUCCCAAGGCUAAAUACUCCCUAGUGAUCGAUAGUGAACCAGUACCGUGAGGGAAAGGUGAAAAGCACCCCGGAAGGGGAGUGAAAGAGAUCCUGAAACCGUGUGCCUACAAAUAGUCAGAGCCCGUUAAUGGGUGAUGGCGUGCCUUUUGUAGAAUGAACCGGCGAGUUACGAUCCCGUGCGAGGUUAAGCUGAAGAGGCGGAGCCGCAGCGAAAGCGAGUCUGAAUAGGGCGUUUAGUACGUGGUCGUAGACCCGAAACCAGGUGAUCUACCCAUGUCCAGGGUGAAGUUCAGGUAACACUGAAUGGAGGCCCGAACCCACGCACGUUGAAAAGUGCGGGGAUGAGGUGUGGGUAGCGGAGAAAUUCCAAUCGAACCUGGAGAUAGCUGGUUCUCCCCGAAAUAGCUUUAGGGCUAGCCUUAAGUGUAAGAGUCUUGGAGGUAGAGCACUGAUUGGACUAGGGGUCCUCAUCGGAUUACCGAAUUCAGUCAAACUCCGAAUGCCAAUGACUUAUCCUUAGGAGUCAGACUGCGAGUGAUAAGAUCCGUAGUCAAAAGGGAAACAGCCCAGACCGCCAGCUAAGGUCCCAAAGUGUGUAUUAAGUGGAAAAGGAUGUGGAGUUGCUUAGACAACUAGGAUGUUGGCUUAGAAGCAGCCACCAUUUAAAGAGUGCGUAAUAGCUCACUAGUCGAGUGACUCUGCGCCGAAAAUGUACCGGGGCUAAAUACACCACCGAAGCUGCGGAUUGAUACCAAUGGUAUCAGUGGUAGGGGAGCGUUCUAAGGACAGUGAAGUCAGACCGGAAGGACUGGUGGAGUGCUUAGAAGUGAGAAUGCCGGUAUGAGUAGCGAAAGACGGGUGAGAAUCCCGUCCACCGAAUGCCUAAGGUUUCCUGAGGAAGGCUCGUCCGCUCAGGGUUAGUCAGGACCUAAGCCGAGGCCGACAGGCGUAGGCGAUGGACAACAGGUUGAUAUUCCUGUACCACCUCUUUAUCGUUUGAGCAAUGGAGGGACGCAGAAGGAUAGAAGAAGCGUGCGAUUGGUUGUGCACGUCCAAGCAGUUAGGCUGAUAAGUAGGCAAAUCCGCUUAUCGUGAAGGCUGAGCUGUGAUGGGGAAGCUCCUUAUGGAGCGAAGUCUUUGAUUCCCCGCUGCCAAGAAAAGCUUCUAGCGAGAUAAAAGGUGCCUGUACCGCAAACCGACACAGGUAGGCGAGGAGAGAAUCCUAAGGUGUGCGAGAGAACUCUGGUUAAGGAACUCGGCAAAAUGACCCCGUAACUUCGGGAGAAGGGGUGCUUUCUUAACGGAAAGCCGCAGUGAAUAGGCCCAAGCGACUGUUUAGCAAAAACACAGCUCUCUGCGAAGCCGUAAGGCGAAGUAUAGGGGGUGACACCUGCCCGGUGCUGGAAGGUUAAGGAGAGGGGUUAGCGUAAGCGAAGCUCUGAACUGAAGCCCCAGUAAACGGCGGCCGUAACUAUAACGGUCCUAAGGUAGCGAAAUUCCUUGUCGGGUAAGUUCCGACCCGCACGAAAGGUGUAACGAUUUGGGCACUGUCUCAACCAGAGACUCGGUGAAAUUAUAGUACCUGUGAAGAUGCAGGUUACCCGCGACAGGACAGAAAGACCCCGUGGAGCUUUACUGUAGCCUGAUAUUGAAUUUUGGUACAGUUUGUACAGGAUAGGCGGGAGCCUUUGAAACCGGAGCGCUAGCUUCGGUGGAGGCGCUGGUGGGAUACCGCCCUGACUGUAUUGAAAUUCUAACCUACGGGUCUUAUCGACCCGGGAGACAGUGUCAGGUGGGCAGUUUGACUGGGGCGGUCGCCUCCUAAAGUGUAACGGAGGCGCCCAAAGGUUCCCUCAGAAUGGUUGGAAAUCAUUCGUAGAGUGCAAAGGCAUAAGGGAGCUUGACUGCGAGACCUACAAGUCGAGCAGGGACGAAAGUCGGGCUUAGUGAUCCGGUGGUUCCGCAUGGAAGGGCCAUCGCUCAACGGAUAAAAGCUACCCCGGGGAUAACAGGCUUAUCUCCCCCAAGAGUCCACAUCGACGGGGAGGUUUGGCACCUCGAUGUCGGCUCAUCGCAUCCUGGGGCUGUAGUCGGUCCCAAGGGUUGGGCUGUUCGCCCAUUAAAGCGGUACGCGAGCUGGGUUCAGAACGUCGUGAGACAGUUCGGUCCCUAUCCGUCGUGGGCGUAGGAAAUUUGAGAGGAGCUGUCCUUAGUACGAGAGGACCGGGAUGGACGCACCGCUGGUGUACCAGUUGUUCUGCCAAGGGCAUAGCUGGGUAGCUAUGUGCGGAAGGGAUAAGUGCUGAAAGCAUCUAAGCAUGAAGCCCCCCUCAAGAUGAGAUUUCCCAUAGCGUAAGCUAGUAAGAUCCCUGAAAGAUGAUCAGGUUGAUAGGUUCGAGGUGGAAGCAUGGUGACAUGUGGAGCUGACGAAUACUAAUAGAUCGAGGACUUAACCA
rnacentral:rRNA from 1 species